rnacentral:rRNA from 1 species
GACGAACGCUGGCGGCGUGCCUAAUACAUGCCAGUCGAACGCAGUGGGGACGGGUGAGUAACCCGUGGGUAACCUCCCAUCAGAGGGGAUAACACUUGGAAACAGGUGCUAAACCGAUACUGAUGGAUGGACCCGCGGUGCAUUAGAGAGUUGGUGAGGUAACGGCUCACAAAGGCCACGAUGCAUAGCCGACCUGAGAGGGGGAGAGGCAAGACUGGGACUGAGAAACGGCCCAGAAGCCUACGGGAGGCAGCAGUAGGGAAGCUUCGGCAAUGGACGAAAGUCUGACCGAGCAACGCCGCGUGAGUGAAGAAGGUUUUAGGAUCGUAAAACUCUGUUGUUAGAGAAGCGGUAUCUAACCAGAAAGCCACGGCUAACUACGUGCCAGCAGCCGCGGUAAUAC